CAGCCCUAAACGAUGCGCGUUAGGUGUAUCGGUGACCACGAGUCACCGAGGAGCCGAAGGGAAACCGUGAAACGUGCCGCCUGGGAAGUACGGUCGCAAGGCUGAAACUUAAAGGAAUUGGCGGGGGGAGCACCACAACGGGUGGAGCCUGCGGUUUAAUUGGACUCAACGCCGGGAAGCUCACCGGAUAAGACAGCGGAAUGAUUGCCGGGCUGAAGACCCUGCAUGACCAGCUGAGAGGAGGUGCAUGGCGUAGUCGUGU
rnacentral:rRNA from 1 species